UACGUAGGGUGCAAGCGUUAAUCGGAAUUACUGGGCGUAAAGCGUGCGCAGGCGGUUUUGUAAGUCUGUCGUGAAAUCCCCGGGCUCAACCUGGGAAUGGCGAUGGAGACUGCAAGGCUAGAGUUUGGCAGAGGGGGUAGAAUUCCACGUGUAGCAGUGAAAUGCGUAGAUAUGAUGGAGGAACACCGAUGGCGAAGGCAGCCCCUGGGUCAAAACUGACGCUCAUGCACGAAAGCGUGGGAGCAAACAGG
rnacentral:rRNA from 1 species